CCUUAAUAAGUAUACCAAAUUUCGAGUUAAUCCGACGUUUUGAAGGGGGUCAAAAUCAUGUUCAAAGAUUCCGUUACAAAUAUAAAUACGUCUGAAGCUAAUAAAAGCGUAUUAAAAAUGAAACAUUGAAAUGAAGUCGUCAUGGCCUAAAGGAUAAGACGUCCGGAGUAUUCGUAUAUAGCGAUGCAACGAUGUUCGAAUCCCGCAGGCGGGUACCAAUUUUUCUAAUGAAAUGCGUACUUAACAAAUGUUCACGAUCGACUUCCACGGUGAAGGAAUAACAUCGUGUAAUAAAAACAAAAAUAAAAACAGCAAGAUUAUAAUUUGCGUAAUUACAGCUGGUAGGGCCUCUAGGGUAGGUACCACCACCCCGCCUAUUUCUGCCGUGAAGCAGUAAUGCGUUUCGGCUUGCCCCACCCGAGCAGCCGUUGUAACUAUACUGAGACUUUAUAACUUAGAUCUCAAGGUGGGUGGCGCAUUUACGUUGUUAAUGUCUAUGGGCUCCAGUAACUACUAGACCAGGUGGCCUAUGAGCUUUGUCUACCCAUCUAAGCAGAAAAAAAAAAGAUUUUCAAACGUUUCACUCGUCUUAGGGCUCCCGUACGAUGACACAAAACAGUUUUGCAACCUUGAAACAUUCGAUAAACAUACGAGAUGAAAAUCGAUACGUGUAAACUUGAAAGUGAAGUUCGCGAACGGAGUUAAACGGCACACACGACGCUGAACUCCGGCUUCACUUUAACCCACAUAACAAAGUUCAAUGUAAACACAAUAUGGCAGAAGUUUUGGAAGUUCCGAUUCACGGUCGCAGCCCGGCCGACGCCUCCACGCGCCCACGACCCACCCUCGCGAACUUGGAGCCGACGACGCGACGUUUGCCAACUUUUAUUAGAGGCUUAACUCGUUUCGCUCUCGUUGAUCCGCAUGUAAUCGUAACCAGCGUUUCUAUCCUCCGAGACGGACCUGAUGUGUUAUUAUUGUGAUUUAUUGAUUUUAUGGGAUUACAAAUUAAGGAUAGUCAAUUUUUGCCUUUAUUUUUAAAUUCCUUCAACUAAUCGCAUAUCGUAGCGCUCUGUAAAGAGUCUUAUUCCAAGUUAAUGUACAUUUUCAGUAAAAACAAGCAAAUAAAAAUCAGUCAUAUUGAGCUAUGGAUGUCGGAUAACAGAAAAAAGAUCAGAACCCAACGUUAGAACUGUCAUGAAUCCAAUUCCGACCAACGGUAGGUAUAUUAGUCUGAAUUACUGACCACUACACCAAAGCGAUAAUAACUCUUCUGUUUCAGAAGAAAAAUUCUGAAAUUUCCGUUCUUUAUUAAACGCGUCCGUCGGCCAUGUUAUCAUCAUCAUCAUCUCAGCCUAUAGCUCUCUACUGCUAAGCAUAGGCCACUCUAAUCGACCUCCAGAGCGGCCGGUCCGUUGCCAUCCCUAUUCAUCGUGACCAGGCGAUUUUCACUAGGCCCAUUUAUCUGGUAGAUGGCCGUCUCAUACUGCGCUUAUCAAUUUACGGCCAUGCUGUAAACAAUAUAAAUUAUGUCCAUAGUAAACUUGAGCAACCGUGGAAGACGGAAAACAAUAUAUACUCUGAAUCGAACCUCAGACGUCUUCCCUCGUAGAGGGAACCCUCGAUACCACUAGGCUACGAGUGUUUGAAAGAGCAAUAAGAGCCAAUAUAACGCCUAUUAUAUUUCUACGUGGAUUUAGUUGAGAAAUCAAAUACUGGUUAUAAAUUGGUUUAAAAAAGUAAUUUAUUGUUCACACCAUUUACUUCGUUAAUGAUUUGUAUUAACGACAUGAAGCUCGUUUAAUAAUAGGUUGGGGAAAAAGUCUUUUAGCAUUAUAGUAUGUAUAAACUUGUAAUAAAAUCUCUUUGGCUAUACUAUUUGUAUCUGGCUGGUUUUGGUAUCAUUAAGUUUAAAUUUUAAAGAAGAUAAUUCCAUUAGGAAAAUGUUUGAUUUUUAUUUAUUUUUCGUACUGUCAAGAUGAGUGAAUCUAAUGAAGAAAUUCGAUACAUUUUAAAAUUUUACUACAAAAAAGGUAAAAAUGCAACGCAAACCGCGAAAAAAAUUUGCGAUGCUCAUGGACCUACUGCAGUGUCUGUUUUCAAUCCGGAAAUUUUGAUGUCAAAGAUGCACGUUGCUCUGGUCGCGCUAUUACAGAUAAAAUGGAUGCCAUUUUUGAAAUAGUGGAGCAAGAUCGGCAAAUCAGUAGUUAUGACGUAGCUGAAGAACUAGGAACUGACCACAAAACAGUUUUGGCGCAUUUGAACAAAAAUGGGUACACAAAAAAGCUCGAUAUUUGGGUACCUCACGAGCCCACUGAAAGAAACCUAAUGAAUCGUGUACUCAUUUGUGAUUCUUUAUUACGACUUAAUGAAACCUAACCAUUUUUGAAGAACUGAUAACUGGUGAUGACAAGUGGAUCACGUACGACAAGAACGUGCAAAAAAGGUCGUGGUCAAAGGCCGGUCAGGCUUCACAGACUGUGACGAAACCCGGGUUAACUCGCAACAAGGUGAUACUGUGUGUGUGGUGGGAUUGGAAGGGCAUUAUUCAUUAUGAGCUGUUUCCACCAGGCAGGGCCAUCGAUUCUGAACUCUACUACGAACAACUGAUGUGAUUAAAGCAAGAAGUUGAGAGAAAGCGGCCGGAAUUAAUCAACAGAAGGGGUGUGGUUUUUCAUCAUGAUAACGCUAAGCCUCACACAUCUUUAGCCACUCAGCAAAAAUUAAUAGAGCUUGGCUGGGAGGUGUUAAUGCAUCCGCCGUAUGAUCCUGGUGUUUUACCUUCAGAUUUUCACCUGUUUUGGUCUCUUCAGAAUUGUUUAGGCAGUGUCAGGUUAAAAUCACGAGAGGACUGGCAAAACCAAUUGUCGCGGUAUUUUGAUCAGAAGCCCCAAAAUUUCUAUAGCAAUGGGAUCAUGUCCCUACUACCUACAGUAUGGCAAAAAGUUAUCGAACAAAAUGGUACCAACAUACUUUAGUUAAAUGUAAAUAAACUAUAUUAAAAAAUGAUGUGAAUUUUCUUAAAAAAUGCGAUGAAACUUUUUCCCCAACCUAUUAAAACUCACGUCAUAAUUAGUUUCCAGGUUCAUUUAGCGGUUAAUGACAGAACCACUUAUUAUUGUAACUAUUUAAAAUUUCUUCGAUUCCCGCUCACAGUAUGGUCAGAUUGUCAAUUAAAGAUGUUUAAAGCAUUUGGGUUCUGAGUUUACUUGUACUGUUGUCCCACAGGAGCCAUGCUUGAGACUGAAUACCAAACGUUAUUACUAUGAGACACGGGCUACGGACUUACUGUACUAAAAAACUUGUCUCUAGUUAAUUGCAUCAAUUUAAUUUGAGUCACACUUUUAUAUCACACGCAAGAAAUAUUUUGAUUACAGUACUAAGUCAUUUAAUAUAUUAGGUACCUAAUUCUAUCACAAUGACUUUAUCAUGGAACAUAAGACGGAUCGGCCUUCGACUGAUAAUAAUAGAUUUAAAAUAGCGUAUACUUUAAAAAUAUUUAGAUUAAAUUAACAGUAUGAACUUAAUUAAGAAUUAAGGUUGUUAUUAAAGGGUUCUUUAUCUUCAUCUUUAUACUUUGGCUUUCUUUAGCUCUAAUUCGAAACAUUUCUAUGAAAUUGGAAUCAAUUAUAAUGCCGUUUUGAUUUGUCUCAAUGAGAAGAACGGUGCCUCAUAUCGUCUAUUCGCAUUAAAAGUGUACAAUUUCGAAAAAUAUUCGAAAUUGAGUUAAUAUGCGGAUUCAUUUGGUAUCACCAGUAUUUUUCUUAUAAAUACUGUCAAAAGAGCGUAGUUUAGUUUCAGUUUUUUUGUAUACCUGUAUUUUGACUACUAUAACAAAAUUAAUACAUAAUUUUAUCUUACUUUAAUAGACAGAUAAUUUAAUUGGUAAAAAAAAAAAAAAAAAUGUUGCAAAGAUGAUUAUUAUUAAAAAUAUCACAUGUUAAACCUUUAAAACACUCUCCUGUAAAAUUAGUAAGUUUUGAGAUUAUACAGUUUUAAUGCGACAAGACGAUAUGUGACUAGCGUAUUAAAGAUGAUUUCGAUUCGCUUUACAAAUAAAUAAUUGGCUCGGAUCUUGAACACCUGUACAAUGCUCCAGAAAGCACACACCUUGUCUCUUAUCAAAUGACACCAUUUGAUAUGCGCCAUCACCUUAUCUGUCAUGUCGAAAUUCUUCCACGAAUCACGUAUCCUAGUCAUGCUCGGAAUAACUCGAUACGAUCCGUUAAAAUUUCUAUUUUAUUUAAAACUAGCGACCCGCCCUCGCUUCGCUUCGGAAACUGUAAUUUAUUAUUGAUUUCUCCACUAUUUAAUGGAUGUUAUUAUACAUAUAAACCUUCCUCUUCAAUCACUCUAUCUAUUAAAAAAAACCGCAUCAAAAUCCGUUGCGUAGUUUUAAAGAUUUAAGCAUACAUAGGGAUAUAGGGACAGAGAAAGCGACUUUGUUUUAUAAUAAGUAGUGAUAUAAUAUCUAAUAACUACGAGUAUUUCAUUAAAGUCAUUUAAAUAAAGCAUUUGCUAAGUUAAUAUUAGUUAUUGUACUUUAGUGAGGGUUACGGUUUAAUCUCGCGUUUUUUACUAUCAUUAUAUCAUUUCCGAGGCUUCGUAUACUUUACGGCUUGAUCAGGUCUUCCGUGACUACGAAAAUUAGGUUUAAUAAUAUCUACGACUCGGGAAGACCGGUGAAUAUACUAUAUUAAGACUGAUUGAUGUCAGAAUCUUUUUUUUGUGUGUCUCGUUUUUCGCUCCCGCUGCCAAUGCACGUUAAUGUUUUACCCAAAUUCAAAUCCAACGUUUGCACCAUUUGAAUUUAGCGAUACAAAAAAAUAAUUACAUACGCAUUUCGAUUUCUUAUCUCGGUUACAACCGUCAACGAUAAACGACCCUAAGUCAAAAUUACGAAAGUCGAAAAUUAGGUUCGGUUCGUGACGAUGCGUUUGACGAUGCGUUUUGCUCUAACAGCUACGAGAAAAUAGUGGAAUUAUCUGAAACCGAGAUAAUUAUAAUGUAAUAAAGGUGUAUCUCGACAGUAAACAAAACGGCUAGUCGUCGUGCUGGAGCCAUCGUCAGCAGAUAGCGACGCGCGACGCUCCGCCGUACCAGAGCCUCACAUCACCGCUCGAUACGACCUCGUCAUCGGUUAUCCCUUAUCACCGAUACCUUGCCGAUUGGUGGAGUGAAGUGUUUGCGCGCCUGAUAUGACUGGCGGGGGCCAAUCGAUUCCCUGUUCCGUUAAAUCUUAUCACGAUCAUGGUGGAAGUUUGUGCCUCGUGUCGGUUCUCUGAUAUCGUAUCUAAAGAUAUCGACGAAAGUAUAAAUAUGAGCCCAUCGAUCGAUCGGGUCUCUAUCGAAGUGUGAACAGUGAUUACGAUUGACUGUGGGACUAAGGAAAGCGUACAAUUAGUGACAAAUUGGAACUUCAUCGCUGGCCAGCCAACGUCAUCAGGCGUUCGAUAUUCGUCUCGGCUGCAGAAUGGCUUCAUGUCUGAGUUGGACAGGGGAUCUUGACAGUUUCAUGGUUCGCUGCCAGAUCUAUCUUUCCAGCUCACGCGUGGAGUCGCGUCACAACGCUUCGGCGGUCGCGGGAAAAUCUUCAGUUGGAGCAGUACGGCGUGAUACAAAAGCGUGACAGAUUAAGUGGAGGUGUGAUCUCUUCACUUUUUAUGUUUAAAGUGAGAUUCAACUCCUCCAACUUAACCCUGGAUCGCAUUUUCUUCAUUCAAUUCGGCUUCCUCACACGACCGAAGACAUCGGCUGCCUGAACAAACAAGGAAUAAGCUAAUACGUGAAGACGUGAACAUCGAAGAUUGUAGAGGAUAUUUUUUUACUACUAAAUUUGUUUGUCUCUUCAAGUGCAGGGAAAUGAAAAUUGAAUAAUUUCAAUGGAUACGGUGGUAUUAGAUUUCCAUAAAAAUAUGUUUGAUUUCUCACACAAUUGAAUCCGCGUGACAUGCUUCUGUUUUACUUUAAAACACAAACUUUUACAUGUUAUAAUUUAUUGUUAUUUUAGCAUUAAAAAUCUUUUCUCAAGUCUUGUUUUAUAAUAUAUACGUAAAUGAUAAUGAAGUAUGAUUUUAUCACAAAAUUCAGUAUUUUGCAAAUGUAAAUUUAUUUACUGAAAUGAUGUACAGCACCGUGCUUAGUAAUUAUAAAUUAUCACCUAAUUCAUAAAAAUUAUAUCAUAAUUAUAUUGUGUAUAUAAUUGUAUGUAAAUCAAUAAAUCAAAGCACACAUUUUCAAAACAUGAUGUACAUAUAAGAUGCCAUUAGUUUAUAUAAUAUUUAUUUUGAAUAAAGUAUUCAUUUGAAGUUCAUUCACCUCAGUAAA